AGAACGAACGCUGGCGGCAGGCUUAACACAUGCAAGUCGAACGGCUGUAGCAAUACAGCAGUGGCAGACGGGUGAGUAACACGUGGGAACCUUCCUAGGGGUACGGAACAACUCAGGGAAACUUGAGCUAAUACCGUAUACGUCCGUAAGGAGAAAGAUUCAUCGCCCCUAGACGGGCCCGCGUAGGAUUAGGUAGUUGGUGAGGUAACGGCUCACCAAGCCUACGAUCCUUAGCUGAUCUGAGAGGAUGAUCAGCCACACUGGGACUGAGACACGGCCCAGACUCCUACGGGAGGCAGCAGUGGGGAAUCUUGGACAAUGGGCGCAAGCCUGAUCCAGCCAUGCCGCGUGAGUGAAGAAGGCCUUCGGGUUGUAAAGCUCUUUUACCAGGGACGAUAAUGACGUACCUGGAGAAUAAGCCCGGCAAACUUCGUGCCAGCAGCCGC
rnacentral:rRNA from 1 species